UUUAGACCUCAGGGUAGGUCAAGAAUGAACCCGGGCCGCCCGCGUGGCAGGCGAGCAUUCUACCACUGAACCACCGA